GACGAACGCUGGCGGCGUGCUUAACACAUGCAAGUCGAACGGAAAGGUCCUGCUUUUGUGGGGUGCUCGAGUGGCGAACGGGUGAGUAACACGUGAGUAACCUGCCCUUGACUUUGGGAUAACUUCAGGAAACUGGGGCUAAUACCGGAUAGGAGCUCCUGCUGCAUGGUGGGGGUUGGAAAGUUUCGGCGGUUGGGGAUGGACUCGCGGCUUAUCAGCUUGUUGGUGGGGUAGUGGCUUACCAAGGCUUUGACGAGUAGCCGGCCUGAGAGUGGGACCGGCAACAGUGGGACUGAGAUACGGCCCAGACUACUACGGGAGGCAGCAGUGGGGAAGAUUGCACGAUGGACGGAAGCCGGAUGCAGCAACGCCGCGUGCGGGAUGAUGGCCUUCGGGUUGUAAACCACUUUCGCCUGUGACGAAGCGUGAGUGACGGUAAUGUAUAAAGAAGCACCGGCUAACUACGUG
rnacentral:rRNA from 1 species